AGAGUUUGAUCCUGGCUCAGGAUGAACGCUAGCGACAGGCUUAACACAUGCAAGUCGAGGGGCAGCGAGGGAGUGGCAACACUUCUGUCGGCGACCGGCGCACGGGUGAGUAACGCGUAUGCAACCUGCCCUUCACAGGGGGAUAACCGGGAGAAAUUCCGACUAAUACCGCAUACGUCCUCCGGGGGCAUCCCCGGAGGAUGAAAGAAUUAUCGGUGAAGGAUGGGCAUGCGUGAUAUUAGGUAGUUGGCGGGGCAACGGCCCACCAAGCCCACGAUAUCUAGGGGUUCUGAGAGGAAGGUCCCCCACAUUGGUACUGAGACACGGACCAAACUCCUACGGGAGGCAGCAGUGAGGAAUAUUGGUCAAUGGACGAGAGUCUGAACCAGCCAAGUCGCGUGAAGGAAGACGGAUCUAUGGUUUGUAAACUUCUUUAGUGCGGGAACAAAGCGGUGUCGUGACGCCGGAUGAGUGUACCGCAAGAAUAAGCAUCGGCUAACUCCGUGCCAGCAGCCGCGGUAAUACGGAGGAUGCGAGCGUUAUCCGGAUUUAUUGGGUUUAAAGGGAGCGCAGGCUGCGAGGCAAGUCAGCGGUCAAAUGUCGGGGCUCAACCCCGGCCUGCCGUUGAAACUGUUUUGCUAGAGUUCGAGUGAGGUAUGCGGAAUGCGUUGUGUAGCGGUGAAAUGCAUAGAUAUGACGCAGAACUCCGAUUGCGAAGGCAGCAUACCAACUCGCGACUGACGCUGAGGCUCGAAAGCGUGGGUAUCGAACAGGAUUAGAUACCCUGGUAGUCCACGCAGUAAACGAUGAAUACUAACUGUUCGGAGGGCGACCUCUGAGUGGUAAAGCGAAAGCGUUAAGUAUUCCACCUGGGGAGUACGCCGGCAACGGUGAAACU
rnacentral:rRNA from 1 species